rnacentral:rRNA from 1 species
AGAGUUUGAUCAUGGCUCAAGAUGAACGCUAGCGGCAGGCCUAACACAUGCAAGUCGGACGGGGGUAGCAAUACUCUAGUGGCGGACGGGUGCGUAACGCGUAUACAACCUAUCACAGGCUGGGGGAUAACCCCGCGAAAGCGGGGCUAAUACCGCAUAAUGCAGCGGCAGCGUAGGCUGACAGUUGUUAAAGAUUUAUCGGCUUGUGCGGGGUAUGCGUCGGAUUAGCUAGUUGGGGGGGUAACGGCCCACCAAGGCGACGAUCAGUAGCUGGUCUGAGAGGAUGACCAGCCAGACUGGGACUGAGACACGGCCCAGACUCCUACGGGAGGCAGCAGCAAGGGAUUUUCCCCAAUGGGCGCAAGCCUGAGGGAGCAACGCCGCGUGGGGGACGACGGCCUUCGGGUUGUAAACUCCUUUUGGUGGGGACGAGAUAGGACGGUACCCACCGAAUAAGUCACGGCUAACUACGUGCCAGCAGCCGCGGUAAUAC